rnacentral:rRNA from 1 species
GAGUAACACGUGGGAACGUACCCUUUGGUUCGGAACAACCCAGGGAAACUUGGGCUAAUACCGAAUAAGCCCUUACGGGGAAAGAUUUAUCGCCGAAGGAUCGGCCCGCGUCUGAUUAGCUAGUUGGUGAGGUAACGGCUCACCAAGGCGACGAUCAGUAGCUGGUCUGAGAGGACGACCAGCCACACUGGAACUGAGACACGGUCCAGACUCCUACGGGAGGCAGCAGUGGGGAAUUUUGGACAAUGGGCGCAAGCCUGAUCCAGCAAUGCCGCGUGCAGGAUGAAGGCCUUCGGGUUGUAAACUGCUUUUGUACGGAACGAAACGGUCUGCCCUAAUACGGUGGGCUAAUGACGGUACCGUAAGAAUAAGCACCGGCUAACUACGUGCCAGCAGCCGCGGUAAUACGUAGGGUGCGAGCGUUAAUCGGAAUUACUGGGCGUAAAGCGUGCGCAGGCGGUUAUAUAAGACAGAUGUGAAAUCCCCGGGCUCAACCUGGGACCUGCAUUUGUGACUGUAUAGCUAGAGUACGGUAGAGGGGGAUGGAAUUCCGCGUGUAGCAGUGAAAUGCGUAGAUAUGCGGAGGAACACCGAUGGCGAAGGCAAUCCCCUGGACCUGUACUGACGCUCAUGCACGAAAGCGUGGGGAGCAAA